UACGUAGGGGGCUAGCGUUGUCCGGAUUUAUUGGGCGUAAAGAGCGUGUAGGCGGCCAGAUAGGUCUGCUGUGAAAACUCGAGGCUCAACCUCGAGAUGUCGGCGGAAACCAUUUGGCUAGAGUCCGGAAGAGGAAAGUGGAAUUCCUGGUGUAGCGGUGAAAUGCGCAGAUAUCGGGAGGAACACCAAUGGCGAAGGCAGCUUGCUGGGACGGUACUGACGCUGAGACGCGAAAAGCGUGGGGAGCAAACAGG
rnacentral:rRNA from 1 species